rnacentral:rRNA from 1 species
GAUGAACGCUGGCGGCGUGCCUAAUACAUGCAAGUCGAGCGAACAGAUGAGGAGCUUGCUCCUCUGACGUUAGCGGCGGACGGGUGAGUACCACGUGGAUAACCUACCUAUAAGACUGGGAUAACUUCGGGAAACCGGAGCUAAUACCGGAUAAUAUAUUGAACCGCAUGGUUCAAUAGUGAAAGACGGUUUUGCUGUCACUUAUAGAUGGUUCCGCGCCGCAUUAGCUAGUUGGUACGGUAACGGCUUACCAAGGCAACGAGGCGUAGCCGACCUGGGAGGUGGAUCGGCCACACUGGAACUGAGACACGGGCCAGACUCCUACGGGAGGAAGCAGUAGGGAAUCUUCCGCAAUGGGCGAAAGCCUGACGGAGCAACGCCGCGUGAGUGAUGAAGGUCUUCGGAUCUUAAAACUCUGUUAUUAGGGAAGAACAAAUGUGUAAGUAACUAUGCACGUCUUGACGGUACCUAAUCAGAAAGCCACGGCUAACUACGUG